UGUAGUUUCUCCAGCUUGAAUUGUGUGUUCAUCAGUAGAUCACUGAGGUGUUUCACUCCAGAGUCUCCUAGUAGUUUAUUCCAGCUCAGGUUCAGUUCUCUCAGGUGUGAUGGGUUUGAUUUCAGAGCUGAAGUCAGGAUGAGACACUGUUUCUCUGUAAUACUGCA